CAAUUCAAUAUAGUUUGAUCAGUAAGAAAGAAUUUUAAGGAUAUUAUGUUAAUAAAAAGUUUAUAAAAUCAUUUUUAAGGUUAUUGUAUUAGUUAAAGAUUAAAUUAAUUUAUAUAUUUUGAGUACUGUGAAGGAAUAUUGUAAUAAUUUUUAUUGUAAAAUAAGUUGUAUUUAGUUUAUGUACCUUGUGUAUCAGGGUUGAUUAAAUAGAAAAUAAUAAUAAUAUUUGUCUCGAUUUCUUAAGAGUUAAUUGUUUAUAUUAGUUAAUGUAUUAUAUUUAUUAAUAAUGAAUUAUUAGUGAUGAAAUGUCAUUCGUUUAAGAAGGUAUCUAGUUUCCUUGGAAAUAAAUUUAAUUUAGAUUUUUCUUAAAAUUAUUAGAUUUAAUGAAUAAUUUUAAUAGGAAAGUUACUAAUAAAAGGGAUAAGCUUUUUAUUAAAUUGUUAAAAGGUAAAGUAUUAAUAAGUAUCAUAAGUUUAGAAUUGAUUAUUGUUUGAAAUAUGUUGAAAUUUUACUUUAUUAUAAUAUUGAUUUAAUAUCCUUUAAUAAUUUACUAGGUUAUAUUAGUUAUUAAAUUUAUUAAUAAUAAUAAUGAUUAAAUUAGUAAAUAAAUUAGGUUAUAGGAUUUAAUAAGUUUUAAUUUGUAAUGAGGAAUUCGGCAAUAAUUUAUUCGCCUGUUUAACAAAAACAUCUCUUCCUGAGAUUUAUAGGAAGUAUUACCUGCCCAAUGAAAUAUUAAAUGGCCGCGGUAUCUUGACCGUGCAAAGGUAGCAUAAUCAUUAGUCUUUUAAUUGGAGGCUGGAAUGAAUGGUUGGACGAGAUAAAUACUUUCUUAUUAUAAUUUAUAUUGAAUUUAAUUAUUGAGUAAGAAAGCUUAAGUUUUUUUAUGGGACGAGAAGACCCUAUAGAGUUUAAUAUAUAAUGAUUUACGAGUUGUUUGUAAAUUUAUGAUAAAUAAGUAUGUAUUUUGUUGGGGUGAUAGGAAAAUUGAAUAAACUUUUUUUAAAUUUUAGAUAUUAAUGAAUAGAUUUAUGAUCCAUUAUUAAUGAUUAUAAGACUAAAUUACCUUAGGGAUAACAGCGUAAUCUUUUCUGAGAGUUCUAAUCGAAGUUAAGGAUUGCGACCUCGAUGUUGGAUUUAAGAUUAGAUUUUGGUGUAACAGCUAAAAUUUCUGGGUCUGUUCGACCUUUAAUUUCUUACAUGAUCUGAGUUCAAACCGGCGUGAGCCAGGUUGGUUUCUAUCUAUUUUAAGAUUAUAUAUCUUAGUACGAAAGGACCAGAUAUAUUAAAUAAUUUAUUUAUUAUGAAUAAUAUUAAUAACUAUUUUGGCAGAAAAGUGUGGUAGAUUUAGAAUCUAUAAAUGUAAUUUAUAUUAC
rnacentral:rRNA from 1 species